UUUUUCUUAAUAUUUUGUUAAAUUAUAUACAAAAAAUUUCAGAUACCCAUCUAGAUUUAUCGAAUAUUUACUUUAGUACCCUUUAAUUUUAAUUUUGUCAUUGAUUUAAGAAAAAAAAUAAUAAAUUUGAUAUUAAAAAGAGAAAAACGAAACCAUAGGGAGGCAAAUUGAUACACUUUAAACCACACGGUACUAAAGUGAGAAAGUGCGAAACCAUGAGCCAUGAGGGGGGUUUUUGAAGAUAUCCCUUUUACUUAUUAUUCUCUCUCUUGGUACACAACAAAGAGAUCAUGCCUAGAGCAAGUGACAAAGGACUUGGUAGUUGGUACCCGAGACUCAAGUUCGAAUCCUAGUUUAUUCACAUUUUCAGCUAAGUUUAUAAACAAAGAGACCAUGUUUAUAAUAUAGGAUUUGGGAGUUUUUAUUAGGAAGGAUUGUGUUGUUUUGUUUCCUUAUUUAUGUUACGCAACAUAUGGAGAUGCUGUGAUAUGUUUAUUGAGUUUUCAAAAAAAAAAAGGUUCAAAUACAAAGUGUUUUUUUGUAAAUAUUUAUUUUUUUACUUUCCAUUUCUAUUUUUUAGAAAUUUAUAUUUUAUCUUAUUAAAAUUUUAAAUUGAUAUAUUUAGUUAUCUUUCGUCAUGAUUCUGUCACUAUUUAAUUUAUUUCUUAUAAUUUAUACAAAAAAUACAGUUAAAAAUAAUAAAUAUAUAUUAAAAUUAUUUUUUAAAUAAGGAUAAUUUGGUUAUUUCGACUUCUCCAUUAAUAUAGUGUAAAUCUCCGGAAAUAUUUUUAAAAAUUUAAAAAGAACAAAAUGUAGAAUUUUGAAAGUUGAAAAAAAAAUAAGAAAAAAAGGUGUGUACGUGGUGGUUUUCGCAUUUUAGACAAAAAAAAAUAUAUUUUUUGAUUUUUGAUUGUUG
rnacentral:lncRNA from 1 species